AUCUAAGUAGUUUAUAAAAACAUUAAUGUGUGAAAUUAAAGAUAACUUUAAUUAUAGGUUUUUAGAUUAU
rnacentral:tRNA from 1 species